GACUUUAAUCUCAGAAUUCUGACUUUAAUGCAGGUGAGCCCUUGGAAGCAUCUGUGUGCAACCAGCUUCAUCGCCUGAGAUGUGAGUCGUGCAGGGGAACGUCCAGCAAUCUUGGGGAACAUGUCAGAUUUAAGUGACUUUUUACGUGGCUGAGGGCUUCCUGAAGAUGCCAUUUCAUUAUUGGAAGAGCAGAAGAUUGAUUGUGAUGUUAUAGCGCUGAUGGAUGACGCAACUCUGGCAAAUUACAUCCCUUCCUAUGGAGACCGAAUUGCCCUCUUCAAUUUCUGCAAAAGCAAACAACCACUCUCAAAAAGAAAACAGGGUCUUCUGCCAAGAGUUCCCCUCUCAGAGUGAGAGACACAGUUCCUGAAAUGUCAGAUUUGGAUGACCUAGUCAGACUGUACUUCAGACUUUCUUUCAGUAUCAAAGAAAUACUUGCAAUUUUAGCACACAGUCAUCAGACUAUAAUAAGUGUUCGAACUCUAAAGAGAAUUUGUAAAAGACUUGGGCUGUUCAGAAGGAAUAAUCUGUCAGACCUGGAAGAAGUGAUGGUCUUUGUCCAACAAGAAAUCAUGACCAGUGGUCAGAUGCAAGGUUAUCGUUGGCUACAUCUUCGUGCAGUUCAAUGUGGAAUUGUGGUGUCACAAGAUACUGUAAGACACAUAAUUAAAUUGGCUGACCCACAAGGUGUGGAACUGAGACGAGCUCGACGAUUGAGGAGACGUCAGUACAACUGCAAAGGACCAAAUGCACUUUGGCACAUGGUUGACUACGAUAAACUAAAACUCUAUGGCAUUGCUAUUAGUGGCUGCAUAGACGGUUUUAGCCGCUAUGUUUUAUGGAUGGAGGCUUACGUCACAAACAAUGACCCUAAAUUGAUUGCAAGUUACUUUCUGAAAACAGUUUCAUGCAUCAAUGGAUGUCCAGAGAGGAUACGUGCUGACAGAGGCACAGAAAAUAGAUGUGUCGAACAAAUGCAGAUGUUUCUGCGGAGAAACCACACAGACAGUUUUACAGGGGAUAAAAGUUUCGUUUAUGGAAGAAGUACAGCCAACCAACGCAUAGAAGGAUGAACUUGAUGACGUUGUGCACACAUGGAACUCACACAAAAUCAGGCCAAGUGGUGGUGCAUCAUCGGGUCGACCAGUAGUGAUGUAUUCUUUUCCAGAGCUGCACAGGGCUGAGGAUAGACUGAAACCUGUUUUCAUGGAUGAGAUCAUUGUGUGCAUGGAAGAGUGUACACCAAAAGGCCAAUAUCCCUGCGAUGAAACAGUGUUUGAACUUUGUUGUCUGCUUAUGGUAGAAAAUGAAUGGAAUGCCCCAAGAGAUCCACUUGUUGCUGCUGAUCUGUAUAUAAGGUUAAGAGAAAAAAUACUCCAAAGGGUUUAAGAAAUUUCUGUAGUCAAAAAGAGAAAAAACUGUGUUUCUGUUUAUCUUGAUUAUGUGAGUAGUUGUCAUGUCUUACAGGUACCCUAUAUGCAGUUAUUCUUGCUUUGUAUCAAAUGAAAGACAUUUUGGGGGCAAGCAAACAUGUCAUUUUUUACAUCAUUCUGUCAGAAUAUUAAUGGUUAUUACUGGUAUAAUGUAAAUGCAGUGUUUUGAUAUGAGUUUAGUCUUUCAGCUACCAUUGUACUGAUCAAAGUAAAAAAAUGUUUGGUUGACAUCUUGCCCCAAUAUAUAGUUUUCUUUACUUUUACACUCAGUCAUUAGAAGUAGCCAUGCUCAUUUCUUACUUGUCAAAUAUAGUGUGAUGUGAUCAUCAGUUAUGUAACAAAUUCUUCUAACUAGCUAUGCUUUCAGCUGCAUAGACAAAUGUAUUUUUUCUUCUAACACAAUUCUGUAUUGUUAAAUAAAAUCCAAUGACAAUGUGUGUGUGAAAUGUGAAUUAAAUGGCAGUACGAGUACAGCAAAAAGGAUAUUAUAAAAUUUGUAAACCUGCCUUCCAUUAAAUAUAAACAUCACUGUUUUGUUGCCAAGCAUUUGUGAAGUAUAAACUCACUAGCUAUCCGUUGCAUUCUGUUGCCAACAUUUUUUUUUACUAUUCAUGACUGGCAAUCCAGAUCGAUAUUUGUAAGCCUUGUGUGUAUCAGCAAAUUACCCAUGCAUUAACUCGGGGAGGAGGGGCAAGUCCAGCCCUCGAGAGCUACUGUCCUUCAUCUUUUAGGUGGAUCCCUUCUCCAUCAUACCUGAAUAAAAUGAAUAGCUUGUUAUCAAGCCUCUUCAGGGCUUCCCAGGGCAUCCCUGCACCUAUGUGACAAAACAGUGCCCAAAAGAAGUUCCAGGUUAUUGUCCCAUCAAGUCUGAAACCAUUUGCAAUUAUCAAAUGUGUAUCUAACUUUUUCUAAUGACAUGUUAAAGACAAAUAAAUGGCAUUCAGCACUUUCUUUUGAA